rnacentral:rRNA from 1 species
AUUGAACGCUGGCGGCAGGCCUAACACAUGCAAGUCGAGCGGAUGAAGGGAGCUUGCUCCUGGAUUCAGCGGCGGACGGGUGAGUAAUGCCUAGGAAUCUGCCUGGUAGUGGGGGAUAACGUCCGGAAACGGGCGCUAAUACCGCAUACGUCCUGAGGGAGAAAGGGGGGGAUCUUCGGACCUCACGCUAUCAGAUGAGCCUAGGUCGGAUUAGCUAGUUGGUGGGGUAAAGGCCUACCAAGGCGACGAUCCGUAACUGGUCUGAGAGGAUGAUCAGUCACACUGGAACUGAGACACGGUCCAGACUCCUACGGGAGGCAGCAGUGGGGAAUAUUCGACAAUGGGCGAAAGCCUGAUCCAGCCAUGCCGCGUGUGUGAAGAAGGUCUUCGGAUUGUAAAGCACUUUAAGUUGGGAGGAAGGGCAGUAAGUUAAUACCGUGCUGUUUUGACGUUACCAACAGAAUAAGCACCGGCUAACUUCGUG